UACGGAGGGUGCAAGCGUUGUUCGGAAUCACUGGGCGUAAAGCGCGUGUAGGCGGUCUGCUAAGUCUGAUGUGAAAGCCCGGGGCUCACCCCCGGAAGUGCAUUGGAAACUGGCAGACUGGAGUCCCGGAGAGGAGGGUGGAAUUCCUGGUGUAGCGGUGAAAUGCGUAGAUAUCAGGAGGAACACCGGUGGCGAAGGCGGCCCUCUGGACGGUGACUGACGCUGAGACGAGAAAGCGUGGGGAGCAAACAGG
rnacentral:rRNA from 1 species